ACCAUAAACUCCAAUUAAUGUGGUGUUGAGUAGAGUUGUAUGGAACGAAAGAUGGGAAUUUCUUGUUGAAUUCUAUUCAUUCAAUUUUCCCUCCCUCGUUCCAUACAUCAUCUAGCCAAUACUGUGUUAACAAUUGUCUUUGGU
rnacentral:pre_miRNA from 1 species